rnacentral:lncRNA from 1 species
CCCCUUUCCAUCUCUUUUCCUCUCUCUCUCCCUCUCUCCCUCCCCCCCUCCUUCCUGCCCCCCAUUUCCGGGACACUCAUGAAGAGACAUUGAUUUCAUAGCUUGUUUGAACUGGAAGCGAACCUGGAGAUAAUGAUAAUGACUGAUUUGUAUCAAGUGCUUUGAUGUGGACAAAGUAUUUUACAUACACUAUUUCAUGAGCUUCCUAGCAACAUCGCAGAAGUGAGAACUUGGGCUAUUAUCAUCCCCAUUUUACAGAGGGGAGAACUGAGGCACGGAGAGAUAUUAAGUGAUUUAUGCACAGUCUAGAAUUGAAUCCAGUCCUGCUGGACUGUUAAGAGAUGAGGCACCAGACCUGGAGAACUGACAGGACGUGCCCACUCUUGGGGCUUCCGAGAAUCCGUGUGCCUGUUAGUCUGUACAGCUGUGUGGAGAGGGCUUAGACUUAGGAGCGGAGACACUGGGUGUCAAAUCCCUGGUCCGAUAGUGUAUAUUGGCUCUGCUCCGGGCAGAUAAACUCUCCGAGCCUCGGUUUUCUCAGCUGUAAAAUGGGGCCAAUAGCAGGUGGCGGUCCUAGCCGUACAGGGACCUUGAGAGGCGGAGAGGAAAAUGUAGGGGACACUUUGGUCUCUCUUUAAGAACCAUGUGGUGUGUGGAAUAGUGGAAGUCCAGCGGGAUCGGCUCUCCUCCGUAAAAUGGAAGUGUUGCGGGGGAUGCUCUGCGGUUCCUGCUAGCUCUCCUCCGGGACAGUCCCUUAGACAAAGGGCUGGAGACCCCUGGGGAAAGAAGGGCCGCUCUGGCGCUCGAGAAGCAGGACGGGUCUCUGGCAGCCCUCUGGACCUCCGUUGACCAGUCCCUCUACGGAGGGCGGCUGCGAAGGUCCAUGCUGGGGCCCCUCCUCCCCCCAUGCCUCGGGGGUUCGAGGAGGCCCUUCUGGCCUGGUGUGCAGCGGCCAGCUUGUUUCCGCCCAGCCUGGGAGUGCCCAAGGGGAGAGGAGAGGGCAGGGCGGGCAGGAGGCAGGAACCCAUCCCGAGGGUCAAUACGGAUGGGCCAGGAGCGCUGCCCGCUCAGCCUUCAGAGCAGGAGGAUCCACAGUGAUCACAAGCGAUCCCUUUGCCAGGAUCCAGAGGAAGAUCCCCAAACAGCCCACGAAUGCAGAGGGCCUCUGGGAAGCCCAAACUCCCUUUGGAGCUUGCUUCUUUGGGCCCUGAGGAGCUCGGGGGAAAGCUUAGAGAGUACAGGACUCCUUGGGGUUCACACAGAACUCUGGAUGCUCCUUGUAACUUAGCAGAGAGUACUGGAGUAGGAAGACUGAGCUUAG